GUAGACCAGGCUGACCUGGAACUCACAGAGAUCUGUCUGCCUCUGCCUACCAUGUGCUAGGAUUACAGUGCGCCAUCUUUGUGUGGCAUGUGCCUACAAUUUCAAGUCUCUGGAAGUUGAAGCAGGAAUAUCUCCAAGGUCAUCCUGAAUAUUGGACAUUAGUCAGAAACUCUUUAAAAAGCAAAGUGAGAGCAGAAGGUCAUGUGACUGGACAGGCCCACCCUCUCUGCCAACAUGGCCAUUUCCAGACCCUAAUGUGGGAAGCAUGCACAGUGACUUGAUGGGUCCUGUGAGCAGAGAGAUGUGCAGUGAUCAUUGAAUUUGCUUGAUUCAUCAGGUCAAGGGAAUCCAGAUCAAGGUGUCAGGAGAAAAGGUCUUGCAAAAAGUGCUGAGGACUUGUCUGAACAAGAGGAAAAGGUCGAACAGAAAGAGAAUGAAACCCUGAUCCUUAGAGACCUACUCUGACAACUGUAGUUGGCUGGCAGCUGCAGUUGGUGAGAUCUGUGAGGAAGGUCUACAAGUGCUGGAAGGCCUGACAGCUUCUGGUCUAUACUCCAUCUGAUUUGCCCUGAGUUCCUGGCCUCCAGUCGGGUUGCCAAUGAUUCUUCUGCCUGGGCUGUAGUGCUUACACACUGAAAUGUGCAGCUCAGUGGUGUGGCACAUCUUGUAUAGCCCAACCAAGCAGAUGCCUGGAUGCUGAUGUGCCAACACCAAAAGGCCUCUGAGUGUUUUGAUGUCAUUUAUCUGGACCCCUAUGGCAGACCGUCCACUUCCUGGAUGCAGCAGUGCAGGCUAUCAAUGAUGGAGGACUGGUGUGUGUCACCUGCACAGACAUGGUAGUAUUGGCUGGGAACAGCAGAGAACAGUGCUACAGCAAGCGUGGAGUCCUGGCCCCCAAGAGCUGGGCCUGCGAUAAAAUGGCCCUGAGAAUUGUUUGGCAUAGCGUGCAUCUACAUGCCAACUGCUACCAGCGCUACAUGGUGCCAUUGCUCAGCUUCAGUGCUGACUUCUGUGUCUGUUUUUUUUUUUGUGCUCAUCUUCACAGGCCAGGCAGAGGUUAAAUCCUCAGCAAGCAGGCAUGUGUUCCAGUGUGUGGGUUGUGGAGCCUUGUGCCUGCAGUGCCUUGGGAGACCCUGGUGGCAAGGUCAAGUUUACUGCAGCCUAUUGUCCUCAAGUGACCUGAGCAGGACAUUGUGUACAGUUACCACUAAUCCUGACUGCAUCCACACCUCUAAGUGAAUCCAAGGUGAUUGUUGGUACCGAGGAACUUCCCAUUGUUCCUCUCUACUACACACUGGACCAACCGAGCAGCACCCUCUACUGCAACACACACUGCUUUCUGCAGCUUAAGUCAGCUUUCCUUCACCCUGGCUUCGGGGUCUCUCUCCCAUGCCUUUAAAAAUGCAGUGAAGACAGAUCUUUCUGGGACAUCAUGCUGGGAAGACUGUCCACUGAAACGGGAGCACUGUCAGAAAGCAGCCCAGCAUUCUGAAUUCUCGCUAUGAAGCCCAGGCUGAAGGCCAACUUCAACAUCUGGGAAUACUCCAAACCCAGCUCCGCCAGCAAGGACUCAAGCACGUCCAGGCCAGUCCAGAAGCCAACUGGGGUACCUGGCCCCGUGUCCAGUCUUAGGGCAAAGCUGCAAGUAAAAGGUCUGUAGGAGAGGUGGGGGCUGCUACAGAAGAAGUAGAAGGAGCCAGCCCAGGGGGCAGCUGCCUCAGGAUAUUUCCUUGCAAACGAUUCAAGGAUGGUACCUGUCAGCGAGGGGACCAGUGCUGUUACUCAAACAGCCCAGAGGCAUCUGUGGCCUCUGCUGAUCCCUCCCUCCCUCACACUGACUGUCCGGAGACCACCACCAAGAUCUCCACUGGACUAGAGGCUGCUGAUGGGGGCACUGCUGGGCCAGGUGUGGACUGAGACAAUAAAGAGAUAGCACCUUCAAAGAAAAAGCAGAGUGAAAAGAUGAGGGCUGCUGAAGUAGUUUAAGUUCCUGGGUUUGCUGCCCCAAACAGAAAACAAAAACAGAUAGAACAUAAAAUAAAUACUCAUUUUUAAGGAGUGUGGGGUAGUUGGAAAGGGCUAUUGAGAUGGAGUCAAGUCACUUGCUAAGAGACCUGAUGACCUGAAUUUGAUCUCCAGGAUCUGCAUGGUGGAGUGAACCAACUCCCUCAGGUGUCCUCUGACUACCACAGCUGCCUUGUACUGCUUGUGCACUCUCUCACAUAUAUAGGAAAGAAAUAAGUGCAAUUAAAAAAAGAGUUGGAUAAAAGAUAAGUCUUGUAGGACUUUUCUAAAUGGCUGUUCAGAUUAUUAGGUUUCUGUUAGUCUUGAAGGAGUAGUGCAAGUUCAGCUGUCCAAGUUAUGAGAACAGUGCAUUCCAUGAAAGUUUAUAUUUCGAAGUGGUUUUAAUUAGUGGUUAGUGAUCUGGCUAUUUUCUUCCUGAGGUGUUUAAAAUCUACCCCUCACAAAAAGAAUUAAUUUGUGAUUGUGGUGGUUUGAAUAGAAUACCGCCUCCCCCCAUAAACUCAUAUUUGAAGACUUGUUCCUCAGUUGGUGAAACUGUUUGGGAAGGAUUAAGAGAUGUGGCCUUGGUGGUCAGUGUUGUCGGGCUUUGAGGUUUUCAAGACUGCCAGUGUUCUCCCUCCUUGGGGAUCCAAAUGUAAUCUCGGGUGUUCUGCUGCCAUUCCUUUACUCCGUCAUAGACUCUCACCUCUGAAACCACACGCCCAAAUUAAACACUUGGUUCUGUAAAGCUGCCUUGGUCUUGGUGUCUUAUCACAGCAGUAGAAAAGCAAUUAAGGCAGUGAUUUUAUUAAUUGGUAAAUUUUAAAUUCUUAUACUUUUUUUUAUGUGAAGGAGUAAACUUAACCUUUUUUAGGCCAUUCUUAUGGGAAGAGGUCAUGGAAUUGUAGAGACUUAAAGGCUAGGGUAUCUUGAAAUGCCUGCAGUGUGAUUGGUUGUGUAUCAAGUGAGAGAGACUUCUGCAGGGUUUGUAGCUCUGGCUAGCUUGCAACUAUGUAGUGUAAACCUGGCAAUCCUCAUGUCUCAUUCUUCAUAGUGUGAUGACAGGGUACACCAUGGCUCACUUUCUUAAGUAUAGAGACUGUGUUCAUUUUUUUUAACCCCCCUGGAUAUUUUUAAAUUGGUUACAUGAAUAAACACUGAUUGAAAUUUUAUACACUCGAGCACAAAAUCUAAGUAGAAAUACCUGACUCCUAAAAUUUACAGUUCUUUAGUCUUACUCAUGUUCAGGGUCUCAGAUAUUUCAAAUAUGUUCUUAAUUUUGAUCAUUAGUGUUCUGAAUUAGUAUUGAGUAAGUAGUAAAGUCUCUGAAAUUACAAACAUACUUAUUUGGAUCAAAUGAAUUUCCCUUUAACUAUAUAAAACAACUUUGCCUUAUUUUAAAGUAGAAUAUCAAAAAGAAAACAAAUACUUCUAGGCUAAGAUUGUAUCAGAAAUUAUGGGGCUGGAGAGACAGACAGCUCCAUGGUUAAGAAUACUGGCUGCUCUUUCAGAGGACUCAGGUUCAAGAGGAUCCAGGUCCUCUUCUGAUCUCUGUGAGCAAAGCAGUGUCAUAUACCUAAAAAUAAAUCCAUGAACUUAAAAUAUUAAAAAAAAAAUGAAUUGCAUGUGUAAGAUUAUUCCUGUAUUUACAAAGUAGAAAACAGCAGUUUGCAACAUUGUUCAACAAGAAAAAUGUUCAUUCGAGGAUAUAAUUGGCUUGCUUAGUGUGCGUGAAUGGAACCUCAAGGGAGUUCCAUCCUCGGUAUCACAUGAGAUUGGACAUAUACUGUGUGUAUGGGGGAGGGGGAGAGUAUUCACUUUCUGUGUCACCGUGUCACUUGACUAUUCUGAAAUUAUUUACAACUGAACCUUGUUUUAGUAAAGGGCACUUGGAAAGGGAGAUAAGUAAUUGUGAAUCAAGUUUAGACUGAUGCUGCUUGAAUCAAUAUGUUUUUGUUUUUUUCCUGGUUUUUUGAGACAGGGUUUUUCUGUGUACCUUUGGAACCUGUCCUGGAUCUCACUCUGUAGCCCAGGCUGGCCUCGAACUCACAGAGAUCCGCCUGCCUCUGAUUCCCGAGUGCUGGGAUUAAAGGCUUGUGCCACCACCAGCCGGCAAUAUUGAAAGUUCUAUGCUGGUGACCUCUAGUGGUUGUUGUCAAACAUCAGCAAACACUAAAUAAUUGUAUGAUAAUCAGAUGUUUAAUGUUGAAUAAAUCCAAGAGAUACAUAAAACACGGUUCCAGAUAUUGAAAAUCAGCAACAAGGUUGGGUUAUGCUGAGUUAUUAGCUAAAAUUGGGUAGAUGAAAAUAAGUUUUUGCCUUAGUAAUAUGUAUUUAAUAAUGAAUUGCAGGUUAACUACUUCCCUUUCUACUUUUUUGUUUGUUUGCUUGUUUGAGACAGAGUAUCUCUGUGUAGCCCUGGCUGUCCAGGAACUCUGUGAAUCAGGCUGGUCUCCAACUUAGUUCUGGAAUUAACAGGCAUGCACU